GUUAAGUCAGGCAACGAGCGAGACCCACGUCCACAGUUGCCAGCAUACCCUCCGGGGGUGGAUGGGUACACUGUGGAGACCGCCGCUGCUAAAGCGGAGGGAAGGAAUGGGCAACGGUAGGUCAGUAUGCCCCGAAUCUCCCGGGCUACACGCGGGCUACAAUGGUUGGUACAAUGGGCAUCUACCCCGAAAGGGGAAGGAAAUCUCUUAAAGCCAAUCGUAGUUCGGAUUGAGGGCUGCAACUCGCCCUCAUGAAGCUGGAAUCCGUAGUAAUCGCGUUUCAACAGAACGCGGUGAAUACGUCCCUGCUCCUU
rnacentral:rRNA from 1 species